rnacentral:misc_RNA from 1 species
UUCAUAUUUUGUGAUUUGUGGAGGAAAAACGCUAAGAAGAAGGCAAAGAAGAGUAGAGGACGAGAGUGAGAAGAGCGUCUCGAUACCGACAUGGGUUUGUUCGGUCUCUCCGGAAAAGCGACCGCGGUCCUUGCCGGAAUUUACACAUUGAUUCAAGGAUUGGUUUGGUCAAUCGUGGGGAUACUUGCUCUGCUCGUUCACGACUGUGCGAUAAACGUCUCUAGGGAAACCCUUUGGACUUACCGGAUAUACUUGAUCUAUCUCUACAGUG